GGCAGCGACCAUACCACCGGUUCUCGUCUGAUCACCCAAGUUAAGCACCAUUGAGUCCGGUUAGUACUUGAAUGGAUGACCAGCUGGGAAUACAGGACGUUGCGGCCU
rnacentral:rRNA from 1 species